rnacentral:tRNA from 1 species
GGUUCGUAGCUCAGUGGUCAGAGCGACGGUCUUACGAGCCAUAGGUCGUGGGUUCGACCCCCGCCGGGACUA